UUCGAAGCAACGCGAAGAACCUUUACCAGGUCUUGACAUCCCCUGACAACCCUAGAGAUAGGGCGUUCCCCUUCGGGGGACAGGGUGACAGGUGGUGCAUGGUUGUCGUCAGCUCGUGUCGUGAGAUGUUGGGUUAAGUCCCGCAACGAGCGCAACCCUUGAUCUUAGUUGCCAGCAUUCAGUUGGGCACUCUAAGGUGACUGCCGGUGACAAACCGGAGGAAGGUGGGGAUGACGUCAAAUCAUCAUGCCCCUUAUGACCUGGGCUACACACGUGCUACAAUGGAUGGUACAAAGGGCUGCAAAACCGCGAGGUUAAGCGAAUCCCAUAAAACCAUUCUCAGUUCGGAUUGCAGGCUGCAACUCGCCUGCAUGAAGCCGGAAUCGCUAGUAAUCGCGGAUCAGCAUGCCGCGGUGAAUACGUUCCCGGGCCUUGUACACACCGACCGUCACACCACGAGAGUUUGUAACUCCGAAAAGUCGGUGGGGUACCUUUUGGAGCCCACCCGCCUUCAAAGUGAUUGCUCUUU
rnacentral:rRNA from 1 species